GCAUCCGUAGCUCAGCUGGAUAGAGUACUGCCCUCCGAAGGCAGGGGUCACAGGUUCGAAUCCUGUCGGGUGCGCCA
rnacentral:tRNA from 2 species